AUUGAACGCUGGCGGAAUGCUUUACACAUGCAAGUCGAACGGCAGCACGGACUUCGGUCUGGUGGCGAGUGGCGAACGGGUGAGUAAUGUAUCGGAACGUGCCCAGUCGUGGGGGAUAACGUAGUGAAAAUUACGCUAAUACCGCAUACGAUCUAUGGAUGAAAGCGGGGGAUCGCAAGACCUCGCGCGAUUGGAGCGGCCGAUAUCAGAUUAGGUAGUUGGUGGGGUAAAGGCCCACCAAGCCAACGAUCGGUAGCUGGCCUGGGAGGACGACCAGCCACACUGGAACUGAGACACGGUCCAGACUCCUACGGGAGGCAGCAGCGGGGAAUUUUGGACAAUGGGCGAAAGCCUGAUCCAGCCAUUCCGCGUGCGGGAUGAAGGCCCUCGGGUUGUAAACUGCUUUUGUACAGAACGAAAAGGUUUCUACUAAUACUAGGAGCUCAUGACGGUACUGUAAGAAUAAGCACCGGCUAACUACGUGCCAGCCGCCGCAGUAA
rnacentral:rRNA from 1 species